rnacentral:rRNA from 1 species
GAUGAACGCUGGCGGCGUGCCUAAUACAUGCAAGUCGAGCGAAUGGAUUAAGAGCUUGCUCUUAUGAAGUUAGCGGCGGACGGGUGAGUAACACGUGGGUAACCUGCCCAUAAGACUGGGAUAACUCCGGGAAACCGGGGCUAAUACCGGAUAAUAUUUUGAACUGCAUGGUUCAAAAUUGAAAGGCGGCUUCGGCUGUCACUUAUGGAUGGACCCGCGUCGCAUUAGCUAGUUGGUGAGGUAACGGCUCACCAAGGCAACGAUGCGUAGCCGACCUGAGAGGGUGCUCCGCCACACUAGGACUGAGACACGGCCCAGACUCCUACGGGAGGCAGCAGUAGGGAAUCUUCCGCAAUGGACGAAAGUCUGACGGAGCAACGCCGCGGGAGUGAUGAAGGCUUUCGGGUCGUAAAACUCUGUUGUUAGGGAAGAACAAGUGCUAGUUGAAUAAGCUGGCACCUUGACGGUACCUAACCAGAAAGCCACGGCUAACUACGUGCCAGCAGCCGCCGUAA